rnacentral:rRNA from 1 species
UACGUAGGGAGCAAGCGUUGUCCGGAAUCAUUGGGCGUAAAGCGUGCGCAGGCGGUGAUGUAAGACAGGUGUGAAAUCCCCGGGCUUAACCUGGGAACUGCAUUUGUGACUGCAUCGCUGGAGUGCGGCAGAGGGGGGUGGAAUUCCGCGUGUAGCAGUGAAAUGCGUAGAGAUGUGGAGGAACACCGAUGGCGAAGGCAGCCCCCUGGGUCAAGACUGACGCUCAUGCACGAAAGCGUGGGGAGCAAACAGG